rnacentral:rRNA from 1 species
UACGGAGGGUGCAAGCGUUAAUCGGAGUUACUGGGCGUAAAGCGCACGUAGGCGGCUUGGUAAGUUAGAGGUGAAAGCCUGGAGCUCAACUCCAGAAUUGCCUUUAAGACUGCCGAGCUAGCAGGUGAGAGAGGUGAGUGGAAUUCCGAGUGUAGAGGUGAAAUUCGUAGAUAUUCGGAAGAACACCAGUGGCGAAGGCGGCUCACUGGCUCAUACUGGACGCUGAGGUGCGAAAGCGUGGGGAGCAAACAGG